rnacentral:lncRNA from 1 species
CAAGUUGAAGUUCUCAAAAACUGUUAAAAAGUAAUUAAAAUUUUAUAAGACUUUUACAGAUGGCUUAUCAUUAUACAUGUAAAAGAUUUACAAAAAGAAAAAUGGGGGUCACCAGGCAAAUUGUUUUAAGGCAUUCAAAUAGAUAAAACCAGAGGAUUCCGAAAAUCUGACAAAAAAUCCAAAACAUGACAAGCCAGCUUCCUUAACA